rnacentral:rRNA from 1 species
AGAGUUUGAUCAUGGCUCAGAUUGAACGCUGGCGGCAGGCCUAACACAUGCAAGUCGAGCGGUAGCACAGAGAGCUUGCUCUCGGGUGACGAGCGGCGGACGGGUGAGUAAUGUCUGGGAAACUGCCUGAUGGAGGGGGAUAACUACUGGAAACGGUAGCUAAUACCGCAUAAUGUCGCAAGACCAAAGUGGGGGACCUUCGGGCCUCAUGCCAUCAGAUGUGCCCAGAUGGGAUUAGCUAGUAGGUGGGGUAACGGCUCACCUAGGCGACGAUCCCUAGCUGGUCUGAGAGGAUGACCAGCCACACUGGAACUGAGACACGGUCCAGACUCCUACGGGAGGCAGCAGUGGGGAAUAUUGCACAAUGGGCGCAAGCCUGAUGCAGCCAUGCCGCGUGUGUGAAGAAGGCCUUCGGGUUGUAAAGCACUUUCAGCGGGGAGGAAGGCGUUAAGGUUAAUAACCUCAUCGAUUGACGUUACCCGCAGAAGAAGCACCGGCUAACUCCGUGCCAGCAGCCGCGGUAAUACGGAGGGUGCAAGCGUUAAUCGGAAUUACUGGGCGUAAAGCGCACGCAGGCGGUCUGUCAAGUCGGAUGUGAAAUCCCCGGGCUCAACCUGGGAACUGCAUUCGAAACUGGCAGGCUAGAGUCUUGUAGAGGGGGGUAGAAUUCCAGGUGUAGCGGUGAAAUGCGUAGAGAUCUGGAGGAAUACCGGUGGCGAAGGCGGCCCCCUGGACAAAGACUGACGCUCAGGUGCGAAAGCGUGGGGAGCAAACAGGAUUAGAUACCCUGGUAGUCCACGCCGUAAACGAUGUCGAUUUGGAGGUUGUGCCCUUGAGGCGUGGCUUCCGGAGCUAACGCGUUAAAUCGACCGCCUGGGGAGUACGGCCGCAAGGUUAAAACUCAAAUGAAUUGACGGGGGCCCGCACAAGCGGUGGAGCAUGUGGUUUAAUUCGAUGCAACGCGAAGAACCUUACCUGGUCUUGACAUCCACAGAACUUUCCAGAGAUGGAUUGGUGCCUUCGGGAACUGUGAGACAGGUGCUGCAUGGCUGUCGUCAGCUCGUGUUGUGAAAUGUUGGGUUAAGUCCCGCAACGAGCGCAACCCUUAUCCUUUGUUGCCAGCGGUUAGGCCGGGAACUCAAAGGAGACUGCCAGUGAUAAACUGGAGGAAGGUGGGGAUGACGUCAAGUCAUCAUGGCCCUUACGACCAGGGCUACACACGUGCUACAAUGGCAUAUACAAAGAGAAGCGACCUCGCGAGAGCAAGCGGACCUCAUAAAGUAUGUCGUAGUCCGGAUUGGAGUCUGCAACUCGACUCCAUGAAGUCGGAAUCGCUAGUAAUCGUAGAUCAGAAUGCUACGGUGAAUACGUUCCCGGGCCUUGUACACACCGCCCGUCACACCAUGGGAGUGGGUUGCAAAAGAAGUAGGUAGCUUAACCUUCGGGAGGGCGCUUACCACUUUGUGAUUCAUGACUGGGGUGAAGUCGUAACAAGGUAACCGUAGGGGAACCUGCGGUUGGAUCACCU